UACGUAGGGUGCAGGCGUUAAUCGGAAUUACUGGGCGUAAAGCGUGCGCAGGCGGUUUGCUAAGACAGGUGUGAAAUCCCCGGGCUUAACUCGGUGCUUGCUUCCGAUACGGGCAGACUAGAGGCAUGCAGGGGAGAACGGAAUUCCUGGUGUAGCGGUGAAAUGCGCAGAUAUCAGGAGGAACACCGAUGGCGAAGGCAGGUCUCGUGGGCCACUACUGACGCUGAGAAGCGAAAGCAUGGGGAUCAAACAGG
rnacentral:rRNA from 1 species